UCGUGUUGCAAGACAGACUGUCUUACCUAACAGUGAGAAGGAGAAGUGUUUUUUUAAAGUUAAAUCAACAACUUUGAGAGUACGUUAAGUAUUCUCAUCUCAUGCUAAAUCCUCGUCUCUGUUUCUGACAAGGUUAAUAUUGAUCUUUGUAUUAUUUAUCUAUUUAGUUAAAUAGUAAACACUUACAGUAUAGUCUUUAUGUUAUGCCAUAAAGUGUUUGUUUUUGCAAUGUACGUACAGGAAUAAGAUUGUUACUGACUGUGAGUAGUUUUUCAGUAAGGAUCAGGUCACUGCAUGAGAGAUCAGGGUGAGGGCGACUUGUUUCAGGUCGAUGAGAAAGUCAAACAACAUAAACUGAGUCUAUAUGAAAACACAAAAGACAGCUAAAAUGCAUUUUAAGCAGACGUUUUUGUGGGUUCUACAUCUGUGCAUAGACAGGCUAAAUCUGUUCAUAAGUGCUUCAGUUUCAUGACAGUAGCCUAGUAAAUAGAGUUUACAUAUUUAAAAUCAGUUUACAUAUAACAUUGAUUCUUAAUUCUUGAUAUUGUUUAAUGUCAUUUAUUCACCGAUUGUAUUAAAGGACUCUCGUCGUGUAAUACUGUCACAGAGCAGUUGUUCUUGUGUUGCAGGGACAGCACAUUGUUGCACUACUCAGAGCUCAGUGAAGUUCACAGCUGUACUGAAACGGUUGAGAGCUGACACAGACCUAGAACAAUGAGGUUCUGUCUGCAAGACCCAAAGAAAUGAGCUUGCUGAUGUAUUAAGGAGUACCUUUUAAAAGAGUGUCACCUGUAAGCUGCCUGACCUCACAGUCCUCCAAGUAGCAGAGGCGUUUAAGGACCUUGCCAGUGCUGUAGCCCCUUCGGUCACCACUAUCAGGAUGUCACAUGUCAAUUCUUUGGUGGAUUUUGGCUUUGGCAGAGUUUAG